GCUCAGAACGAACGCUGGCGGCGUGCCUAACACAUGCAAGUCGAGCGGUCCAAGGGCUUCGGUUCUUGGGUAGCGGCAGACGGGUGAGUAACACGUGGGUAACCUGUCCCUAGGUGGGGGAUAACUACUCGAAAGGGUGGCUAAUACCGCAUAAGACCCCGGGUUUUCGGAUCUGAGGUCAAAGGCGCAAGUCGCCAAGGGAGGGGCCCGCGGCCGAUUAGCUAGUUGGUGAGGUAACGGCUCACCAAGGCAGUGAUCGGUAGCUGGUCUGAGAGGAUGAUCAGCCACACUGGUACUGAGACACGGACCAGACUCCUACGGGAGGCAGCAGUGGGGAAUAUUGCGCAAUGGGCGAAAGCCUGACGCAGCAACGCCGCGUGGGUGAUGAAGGCCCUCGGGUCGUAAAGCCCUGUCAGAUGGGACGAAGCAAGUGACGGUACCAUCGAAGGAAGCACCGGCUAACUCCGUGCCAGCAGCCGCGGUAAUACGGAGGGUGCAAGCGUUGUUCGGAAUCACUGGGCGUAAAGGGCGCGUAGGCGGCUCCAAAAGUCUGAUGUGAAAGCCCGGGGCUCAACCCCGGAAGUGCAUUGGAAACUGUGGAGCUUGAGUUCGGGAGAGGAAGGCAGAAUUCCCGGUGUAGGGUUGAAAUCCGUAGAUAUCGGGAGGAAAACCGGUGGCGAAGGCGGCCUUCUGGAACGAAACUGACGCUGAGGCGCGAAAGCGUGGGGAGCAAACAGGAUUAGAGACCCUGGUAGUCCACGCUGUAAACGAUGGAUGCUGGGUGUGGGGUUCAAUACGGAACUCCGUGCCGAAGCUAACGCAUUAAGCAUCCC
rnacentral:rRNA from 1 species